UGACUGUGCAAAGGUAGCAUAAUCAGUUGGCUUAUAAUUGAAGUCUGGAAUGAAAGAAUAUUCGGGUAAUAUCUGUCUUAUGGUAUUUAAUUGAAAUUGGUUACCAAGUGCAAAUACUUGUUUAUUUAAAUUAGACGAGAAGACCCUAGAAACUUGUUAAUUUUGUUGGGGCGACAGAACUACAUUUAACUAGUUUUAUAAGAACUUGAAGUAAAGCAGAUAGAUAAAGUUACUCUAGGGAUAACAGCAUAAUUUA
rnacentral:rRNA from 1 species